AGCCACAGCAGUUGGCAUCGAAGAACACAAAGGCAAGCAGGCAGUCCAGGGGGAGCACAGCAGAGGGGUCCAGCUCCUUGGGCUGCGAAGGAAGCGGAUGGGCGGAAUCAGCUCUCACCUCUCAGUGGCCCAAUCACUCGGACGCAGCCCUUUCCCUGCCACGUGGGCCUGCACGUUUGAGAAGGUACCCGAUGGCUCACCUGUCACACCAAGGCAACAGAACAACCGAAAAGCACAUCACAAACAGGUACCCUCCCUGUGAGCCCUGAACCACCUCUGGGCUGGUCGCUGACAGAGGUCCUGGAGGCCCUCCCUCCCCGAGCUCUGGGCCAGAGGCCUCACCAUGUCCUGAAGCGAAGAGAACUCCAUCUCUGACUGGUUGGAG